rnacentral:rRNA from 1 species
UGGGGAAUAUUGGACAAUGGGCGAAAGCCUGAUCCAGCAAUGCCGCGUGUGUGAAGAAGGCCUUCGGGUUGUAAAGCACUUUCAGUGGGAAAGAAAAAAUUAAAGCUAAUACCUUUAGUCUUGACGUUACCCAAAGAAGAAGCACCGGCUAACUCUGUGCCAGCAGCCGCGGUAAUACAGAGGGUGCAAGCGUUAAUCGGAAUUACUGGGCGUAAAGCGCGCGUAGGUGGAUAUUUAAGUCGGAUGUGAAAGCCCUGGGCUUAACCUAGGAACUGCAUUCGAUACUGGAUAUCUAGAGUAUGGUAGAGGGAAGUGGAAUUUCCGGUGUAGCGGUGAAAUGCGUAGAUAUCGGAAGGAACACCAGUGGCGAAGGCGGCUUCCUGGACCAAUACUGACACUGAGGCGCGAAAGCGUGGGGAGCAAACAGGAUUAGAUACCCCGGUAGUCC